rnacentral:rRNA from 1 species
ACGGAAGGCAGCAGUGGGGAAUAUUGCACAAUGGGCGAAAGCCUGAUGCAGCGACGCCGCGUGAGCGAAGAAGUAUUUCGGUAUGUAAAGCUCUAUCAGCAGGGAAGAUAAUGACGGUACCUGACUAAGAAGCACCGGCUAAAUACGUGCCAGCAGCCGCGGUAAUACGUACGGUGCAAGCGUUAUCCGGAUUUACUGGGUGUAAAGGGAGCGUAGGCGGAAUUUUAAGUCUGAUGUGAAAGCCCAGGGCUCAACCCUGGUACUGCAUUGGAAACUGGAGUUCUAGAGUGUCGGAGGGGUAAGUGGAAUUCCUAGUGUAGCGGUGAAAUGCGUAGAUAUUAGGAGGAACACCAGUGGCGAAGGCGGCUUACUGGACGAUUACUGACGCUGAGGCUCGAAAGCGUGGGGAGCAAACAGGAUUAGAUACCCUGGUA